rnacentral:lncRNA from 1 species
GAGACGCUUGCGCUUUCCCGGGCCGCACUUCCCACCCGGGUCUUCAGAAGCCCGUGGCCGCUGGGUGAGCCCCUGCGUGAACGCACACGCACGCACACGGCUUCAGGUUGCCCCGCGGCGCCGCGCGCGAUAUCGGCUCGGAUCCCGGGAGGCCGUCCGCCCCUUUUUCAGCGGAUAGCUGAGGCCAGACAAAACGGUCAGAGCCAAAAGAGCGUCUCCCAGCCGCAGAUCACUGUCAGUGCUGUUCUUCCUUUCGGAAAAGGGUGGAUCCGUGCAUGUGC